rnacentral:lncRNA from 1 species
AUGACGAGGAGACCAACCAAGAAGGGGCAAGCCAAAGCCAAAUUCCCUGACAGUCUGUUCAUCUCCAGCAUGUGGAAAGUGCUGCUCCUGGGUCUGUAUGUAGUAUUGGCUGUGAGAGGAUUGGCAAAGGGUGCUCCUUUCCAUCCAGAAGAGAAAUGGAAGCCUCUUGAUAACCCCAGAAACAGAGACCUGUUUUUCAGAACGCUCCAGGCUUACUUCUUGGGCAGGGGUCUCGAUCUCAGAAAGUUCCCAGCUACUUUCCCUGUGAACAGUGAAGGACCAGGGCCUGUCACGUUCUACUCAGAUCCUAUUGCUUCUGCAUUUGCAGAUUAUGAAGAAAGGAAAAAAUCUUUUCAGAACUAUUUUGAAGGCUGAAAGAUUCUGCUGAUGAAGGUAUUAACUUAAGACCUCCAUACCAAGUGGAAAACUUCACAGCAAAAUUUUACUGUUUUGACUUUUUUGUUACCUGACAAUUCAAAAUUUUCUUCACUGUCACUGUUUCUGCCAGUGGAAUCUGGUGUCCUGCUGUAAUGGGCAUUAUUCUGUCUGUUGACAAAUGCGUGCUGUUUGGCUACUGCAGUUUGUGAGCAGAAUUGUGCUUAACUGUGAAUAAAUGAGGAGUGCAACCGCGUGCA